rnacentral:rRNA from 1 species
GACAGGAGGUGCCAAGCGUUAGGCGGAAUCACUGGGCUUAAAGCGUGUGUAGGCGGGCGAUCAAGUACCUUGUGAAAUCCCACGGCUCAACCGUGGAACUGCUGGGUAUACUGGUUGUCUUGAGCCAGCUAGGGGCGAGCGGAACAGACGGUGGAGCAGUGAAAUGCGUAGAUAUCGUCUGGAACGCCGAAGGUGAAAGCGA